AUUGAACGCUGGCGGCAGGCUUAACACAUGCAAGUCGAGCGGAGCGAGGGUGCUUGCACCUUAGCUAAGCGGCGGACGGGUGAGUAAUGCUUAGGAAUCUGCCUAUUAGUGGGGGACAACAUUCCGAAAGGAAUGCUAAUACCGCAUACGCCCUACGGGGGAAAGCAGGGGAUCUUCGGACCUUGCGCUACUAGAUGAGCCGAGGUCGGAUUAGCUAGUUGGUGGGGUAAAGGCCUACCAAGGCGACGAUCUGUAGCGGGUCUGAGAGGAUGAUCCGCCACACUGGGACUGAGACACGGCCCAGACUCCUACGGGAGGCAGCAGUGGGGAAUAUUGGACAAUGGGCGGAAGCCUGAUCCAGCCAUGCCGCGUGUGUGAAGAAGGCCUUUUGGUUGUAAAGCACUUUAAGCGAGGAGGAGGCUCUUAAGGUUAAUACCCUUGAUGAGUGGACGUUACUCGAAGAAUAAGCACCGGCUAACUCUGUGCCAGCAGCCGCCGUAACAC
rnacentral:rRNA from 1 species